UACAGAGGUCUCGAGCGUUGUUCGGAUUCAUUGGGCGUAAAGGGUGCGUAGGUGGCGCCGUAAGUCGGGUGUGAAAUUUCGGAGCUUAACUCCGAAACUGCAUUCGAUACUGCGGUGCUUGAGGACUGGAGAGGAGACUGGAAUUCAUGGUGUAGCAGUGAAAUGCGUAGAGAUCAUGAGGAACACCAGUGGCGAAGGCGGCGAUCUGGGUAGAUACUGACGCUGAGGUGCGAAAGCGUGGGGAGCAAACAGG
rnacentral:rRNA from 1 species